GUCUGAGUCAAGCAGAGCUGAAGAAAUUUAUUCACAAAGAAAAUAUUCCAGUAACGUUCCUGGUUGAUGUUUACCACACAGCUUAUACCAGUCUCUUGUUGUAGAUUGACAACAAGCUGCUUUUUCUAGAAGGAGGAUUGCUUGGGAAACCUUCAGAUGAAAAUGAAAAGAAAACGUCACCAUGGCCAGAGGAGGAGGAAGCGACUGCAACAACAACGGCGUCGACAGCAGCAGCAGGAACUACAGGAGCAGCAACAAGAGCAGCAGCGGCUGCGGCAGCAGCAGCAGCAGGAGCAGCAGCAGCAGCAGGGGCAGCAGCAGCAGCAGCAGCAGCAGCAGGGGCAACAGCAGCAGCAGCAGCAGCAGCAGCAGUGCCAGCAGCAGCAGCAGCAGCAGCAGUGCCAGCAGCAGCAGCAGCAGUGCCAGCAGUGCCAGCAACUGCAGCAGCAGCAGCAGCAGCAGGAGCAGCAGCAGCAGCAACGUAGGAGGAGAAACAACAGGAGGAGCAGGAGGAGCAGGAAGAAUAAGAAGAGCAAGAGGAACAGGAAGACCAGAAACACCAGGAGGAGGAGGAGAAGAAAUAAUGAGUGAUUGUGUCUACAUUUACGGGAAGAGUUUGAUGUGGUAGAAAUGUUGGUAAAUAUAAUACCCAAACAUGAAAUUCUAAUAAAAUAAUUGAAAGCCUUCA
ensembl:lncRNA